rnacentral:rRNA from 1 species
AUUUAUUCAUGCGUUUUAUUUAGAUUUUUACUGUUGUUUAUUUGUCUUUAUUGGGCGUUAAGAUUAAGGGGGAUUAGCUCCUUAUUUUAUUUUUAUAAUUUUUGUGUAUUUAUUUGGUUUUGUGGGUUUUAUAGUGAUUUUCAAUUUGAUUAUGUUAAAAUUUUAUUUGUUUCUUUUGUUAUUUUGUGUUAUUUAAUUAUUUAUUGGAAUGUUUUCUUUACUUUUUAUUGGAUUGUAAUUAUUGUGGGAUUAGUAAAUUUGUUUAUUGUAUUGUUUAUAGUUCUGUUUAAUUUCUUUUGAGGAAUUAGGCAAAAUUUUUGUGUCCGCCUGUUUAACAAAAACAUCUUUUCUUGUUAGUUUUUGAAGUAUGGCCUGCCCGCUGACGUUGAGUUGAAGGGCCGCGGUAUUUUGACCGUGCAAAGGUAGCAUAAUCAUUAGUUCUUUAAUUGUGAUCUGGAAUGAAUGGCUUGACGAGACACAAGCUGUCUUAAUGUUGAAUGUUUUAUUGAAUUUGGUCUUUGAGUUAAAAUUCUUAGAUGUUUUUAUGGGACGAGAAGACCCUAUAGAGUUUAACAUUUGGUUUACUUAUUUGUUGUUGUUUGUUUGUUUUGUUGGUAAGUGGACUUUUUGUUUUGUUGGGGUGAUGAGAGGAAUGAUUUAACUCCUCUUGGUUUUGGUUAUAUUGAUUUAUAUUUAUUUGAUCCAUUUAUUUUGAUUAUAAGACUAAAUACCCCUUUAGGAAACAAGCCGUUAAAAAAU